AACGAACGCUGGCGGCAUGCCUAACACAUGCAAGUCGAACGAGACCUUCGGGUCUAGUGGCGCACGGGUGCGUAACGCGUGGGAACCUGCCCUUAGGUUCGGAAUAACUCCCCGAAAGGGGUGCUAAUACCGGAUAAUGUCUUCGUACCAAAGAUUUAUCGCCAUUGGAUGGGGCCGCGUUUGAUUAGCUAGUUGGUAGGGUAAAAGCUUUCCAAGGGGACGAGCGAUAGCUGGUCUGAGAGGCUGUUCACCCACACGGGGACUAGGACACGGCCCAGAAUCGUACGGGAGGCAGCAGUGGGGAAUAUUGGACAGUGGGCGAAAGCCUGAUACAGCAAUGCCGCGUGAGUGAUGCAGGCCUUAGGGUUGUAAAGCUCUUUUACCCGGGAUGAUAAUGACAGUACCGGGAGAAUAAGCACCGGCUAACUCCGUG
rnacentral:rRNA from 1 species